rnacentral:rRNA from 1 species
UACGGAGGGUGCAAGCGUUAAUCGGAAUUACUGGGCGUAAAGCGCACGCAGGCGGUUUGUUAAGUCAGAUGUGAAAUCCCCGCGCUUAACGUGGGAACUGCAUUUGAAACUGGCAAGCUAGAGUCUUGUAGAGGGGGGUAGAAUUCCAGGUGUGGCGGUGAAAUGCGUAGAGAUCUGGAGGAAUACCGGUGGCGAAGGCGGCCCCCUGGACAAAGACUGACGCUCAGGUGCGAAAGCGUGGGGAGCAAACAGG